UUCAAAAGGCACUUACCAGAGUGAUGACGGAACCUGUCAUGAAUCGACCAUCUAUCUAUUCACCGUUGUGGGAAUCUCAAGUAUCUAUCGGCACUGGGGAAGCCAAUCCAAAUUUUACUGUUGCGUAAAAUUUCUGGCAUUUCCCAGAGUCAAGUAUAUACUUUUUUACAAGGUUGUGUUUCUUCUCACUGUGUGCACGUCCUCUCAACUUACACAGUUUUAUUAGACCAAUUUUAUGGAAGUGGUAAUGAGACUUGUGUGGUGACAUCGGUCAUGGGCAGAGCGGGUUAUCUUGAUCAAGAGUACUAUAGUUAUCAAGGGUUGAAUGAAAAAAUUGAUUUUUACAGUUUUACUGGCCAACCUGCAACCAUAGAAAGUGAUGAUCUUGUCCACAUAGUGGAGUGGGUGAAUCCAGAAUGGGGUUUUAACAACGAAUUUGGAUCAAAGGAUUCAAGGAGAGUUCGAUGUGAAUUUGGUCUGGAAAGCAUUAGAGACAGCAAUGACAUGCACAACUUCCACCUCCCAGCAUAGAGCCACCAUGGUUGGUUUUGUGCUGCGUCAACUAACAAAAUGUAUGGAAUGAAGGUGUCUAAGCAUCGAGAAAGAACUCCAGGCUCUAAUGAAGAAGCUCGUGUUAUGAUUUCACCAUACCAGAGUUCACCUAGAGUGAUUUCCAUAUGUUGAGGUCGAGUUAUCUAGAAUACUUUAAACACAGAUAAAUUGGAUUUGUAUUUCUGCUCACUUAAGAAGGGCAUCCAGUAGGAAAAUUGCAUUAAGAGAGGAGCAAGCGCAGUGCAAUAAAAACUUGGACGCGUAAAUAGCAGAUUUCGGUCUGUCCGGUGUUGUUUUCAGUGAUAAUGAGACUUGUGUGGUAACAUCGGUCAUGGGCAGAGUGGGUUAUCUUGAUCCAGAGUCUGCAGGUACUAUAAUUAUCAAAGGUUGAAUGGAAAAAAUUGAUUUUGAGAGCUUUACUGGCCAACCUGCAAUCAUAGAAAUUGAUGAUCUUGUCCACAUAGUGCAGUGGGUGAACCCUGAGUUCCAGAAUGGGAUUUAACAACUAUUUUGUAUCGAAUGAUUUGAGGAGAGUUCGAUGUGAAUUUGGCCUGGAAAGCUUUAGAGGCAGCAAUGGUAUGCACAACUUUCACCUGCCAACAUAGAGCCACCGUGGGUUUUGUGCUGUGCCAACUAACACAAUGUAUGGAAUAGAGGUGUCUAGGCAUCGACAAAGAACUCCAGGCUCAAAUGAAGAAACUCGUAUUACGAUUUCACCAUACCAGAGUUCACCUAGAAUGAUUUCCAUUGGUUCAGAUUCCACAAAUGCAGGUUCAAUUUCAGCACCAUGCUAGAUUCAAGCAAGUGCAAGAAGAACGUGGUUGUUCCAAUACUUGGAUCCUUACUGUCAGCAGUGGCCCUCCUCCAAGUUAUAGUGCUCAAACUGGUAUGGAAGCUGAGAAGAAUAAGAAAACCAACUGCAGAUGGAGAUAAACGUAACAACACUCCUGUAGCAUCAGAAGUCCUAGUUCACUUAUGAUGAGGUUUUAGAAAUCACCUAAAACUUUAAAACGGAAAUUUGGAAAGGAGGUUUGGGAUUGUAUACCAUGGCUAGUUGAAAUAUGGCACUCAAGUUGUGGUUCUACAUCGUCAUCUCAAGGAGCUAGCUCAGCUAGGGAGUUCCAAACGGAGGUUGAGCUCCUGAUGAGAAUCCAUCAUAGAAACUUGGCCUCAUUUAUUGGAUACUGUGAUGAUACCUAUAAGUUGGCACUUAUAUACAAGCACAUGCCUAAUGAAAACCUAAAAGAAUAUCUCUGAUCAGAUGCAGAUAGAAGCUCACAUAAACUUGGGAAAUGAGACUAUAGCAUUAGAUAGGUGCUUAGUGUUAUUUUGUAUGCUACUAUAUAUGCACAAUCCAGUAUUGUGCAUAGCGGUGUAAAGACCGCCAACAUUCUCUUGUCUUGAAUUAAAACUUAGAUGCAAAAUAGCAGAUUUUGGUC